GAUGAACGCUGGCGGCGUGCUUAACACAUGCAAGUCGAACGGAAAGGCUCCUGCUUGCAGGGGUACUCGAGUGGCGAACGGGUGAGUAACACGUGGGUGAUCUGCCCUGCACUUCGGGAUAAGCCUGGGAAACUGGGUCUAAUACCGGAUAGGACGAUGGUUUGGAUGCCAUUGUGGAAAGUUUUUCGGUGUGGGAUGAACUCGCGGCCUAUCAGCUUGUUGGUGGGGUAAUGGCCUACCAAGGCGUCGACGGGUAGCCGGCCUGAGAGGGUGUACGGCCACAUUGGGACUGAGAUACGGCCCAGACUCCUACGGGAGGCAGCAGUGGGGAAUAUUGCACAAUGGGCGCAAGCCUGAUGCAGCGACGCCGCGUGGGGGAUGACGGCCUUCGGGUUGUAAACUCCUUUCGCUAGGGACGAAGCGCAAGUGACGGUACCUGGAGAAGAAGCACCGGCUAACUACGUG
rnacentral:rRNA from 1 species